UACGUAGGGGGCGAGCGUUGUCCGGAUUUAUUGGGCGUAAAGAGCGUGUAGGCGGCCAGGUAGGUCUGCUGUGAAAACUCGAGGCUCAACCUCGAGACGUCGGCGGAAACCAUCUGGCUAGAGUCCGGAAGAGGAGAGUGGAAUUCCAGGUGUAGCGGUGAAAUGCGUAGAUAUCUGGAGGAACACCGGUGGCGAAGGCGGCAUCCUGGACCGGCAUUGACGCUGAGGCGCGAAAGCUAGGGGAGCAAACGGGG
rnacentral:rRNA from 1 species